CUGUUUAUCAAAAACAUGGUUUCUUGUAAUUAUUUAGGAGAUCUGACCUGCCCACUGAAAAUAUUUUGAAGGGCCGCAGUAUUUUGACUGUGCAAAGGUAGCAUAAUCAUUAGUCUUUUAAUUGAAGGCUGGUAUGAAUGGUUGGAUGAGGUAAAUUCUGUUUUAUGUUAAUUGAUGUUGAAUUUAGAUUUUAAGUAAAAAUACUUAAAUGUUAUUAAGGGACGAGAAGACCCUAUAGAGUUUAAUAAAUGUAAUAAUUAAUUGAGUUAAAGUUUAAUUUUUGGUUUUUAUGUAAUUUAUUUAAUUGGGGUGAUUGGAAGAUAAAAUAAACUCUUCUUUAUAUUUAAUAAAUUAAUUAGUUAUAUGAUCCAUAUUUAAUGAUUAAAAGAUUAAAUUACCUUAGGGAUAACAGCAUAAUUCUUUUUAAGAGUUCAUAUCGAAAAAAGAGAUUGUGACCUCGAUGUUGGAUUAAGAUUAGUUAUGGGUGCAGAUGUUCAAUAACUAGGUCUGUUCGACCUUGAAAAUCUUACAUGAU
rnacentral:rRNA from 1 species